GCGCCUGUAGCUCAGUGGACAGAGCAGCGGACUUCUAAUCCGCGGGUCGCAGGUUCGAAUCCUGCCAGGCGCG
rnacentral:tRNA from 1 species